CCAUUAUCUACAGUCCCCUAAUUUAUUCGAAUACCUCUGUAGAAUUGUAAUAUUCUGUAAAAACUGUAUUGCCUUAACUAGUUUUAUGUGAUUUACAAACUAUGAGACAUGACUUAUGUUAUGAUCUGUCCAGAACAACAUGUGUAUUCCUACUAAUGACAUUUGUAAUCAAAAUAAAUUCCUGACCAUUUUCACUUAAUCACCUCUU